AGCAGCCGCGGUAAUUCCAGCUCCAAUAGCGUAUAUUAAAGUUGUUGCAGUUAAAAAGCUCGUAGUUGAAUUUCGGGAUCAAUUCGUCGGUCGUGCUUUUUGGUACGUACUGGUGUUAUUGGUUUCUCCUUUCUGACGAUCCAUGAUGUCAUUAAUUUGGUGUUAUGGGGGUUCAGGACUGUUACUUUGAAAAAAUUAGAGUGUUUAAAGCAGGCA
rnacentral:rRNA from 1 species